rnacentral:rRNA from 1 species
UUACAGGGGAAGUCGGUGAUCCUAUGCUGCCAAGAAAAUCUUCUAGCGAGGUUCGAGCCGCCCGUACCCCAAACCGACUCAGGUGGUUAGGUAGAGAAUACCAAGGCGAUCGAGUGAAUCGUGGUUAAGGAAUUCGGCAAAAUACCCCCGUAACUUCGGGAGAAGGGGGGCCCAGAGGGUGACGGGACUUGCUCCCCGAGCCUGAACGGCCGCAGAGACCAGGGAGAAGCGACUGUUUACUAAAAACACAGGUCCGUGCCAAGUCGCAAGACGAUGUAUACGGACUGACGCCUGCCCGGUGCUGGAACGUUAAGGGGACCGGUUAGCCUCACGGCGAAGCUGAGAACUUAAGCGCCAGUAAACGGCGGUGGUAACUAUAACCAUCCUAAGGUAGCGAAAUUCCUUGUCGGGUAAGUUCCGACCUGCACGAAUGGCGUAACGAUUUCUCCACUGUCUCAACCACGAACUCGGCGAAAUUGCACUACGAGUAAAGAUGCUCGUUACGCGCAGAAGGACGGAAAGACCCCGGGACCUUUACUACAGCUUGGUAUUGGUGUUCGGUACGGCUUGUGUAGGAUAGGUGGGAGACUGUGAAGCUGACACGCCAGUGUCGGUGGAGUCAACGUUGAAAUACCACUCUGGUCGUUCUGGAUAUCUAACCUAGGUCCGUGAUCCGGAUCAGGGACAGUGCCUGGUGGGUAGUUUAACUGGGGCGGUUGCCUCCUAAAAGGUAACGGAGGCGCCCAAAGGUUCCCUCAGCCUGGUUGGCAAUCAGGUUUUGAGUGUAAGUGCACAAGGGAGCUUGACUGUGAGACUGACAAGUCGAACAGGGACGAAAGUCGGGACUAGUGAUCCGGCGGUGGCUUGUGGAAGCGCCGUCGCUCAACGGAUAAGAGGUACCCCGGGGAUAACAGGCUGAUCUUGCCCAAGAGUCCAUAUCGACGGCAUGGUUUGGCACCUCGAUGUCGGCUCGUCGCAUCCUGGGGCUGGAGUAGGUCCCAAGGGUUGGGCUGUUCGCCCAUUAAAGCGGUACGCGAGCUGGGUUUAGAACGUCGUGAGACAGUUCGGUCCCUAUCCUCUGCGCGCGCAGGAAACUUGAGAAGGGCUGUCCCUACUACGAGAGGACCGGGAUGGACGAACCUCUGGUGUGUCAGUUGUUCUGCCAAGAGCACCGCUGAUUAGCUACGUUCGGGAGUGAUAACCGCUGAAAGCAUCUAAGCGGGAAGCAUGCUUCAAGAUGAGGUUUCCAUGGGGUUUACCCCGAGAGGCUCCCAGCUAGACUACUGGGUUGAUAGGCCGGAUGUGGAAGUGCGGUAACGCAUGGAGCUGACCGGUACUGAUAAGCC